CUUCCGUAGGGUGAACCUGCGGAAGGAUCAUUACCGAGUUUUCGAGCUCCGGCUCGACUCUCCCACCCUUUGUGAACGUACCUCUGUUGCUUUGGCGGCUCCGGCCGCCAAAGGACCUUCAAACUCCAGUCAGUAAACGCAGACGUCUGAUAAACAAGUUAAUAAACUAAAACUUUCAACAACGGAUCUCUUGGUUCUGGCAUCGAUGAAGAACGCAGCGAAAUGCGAUAAGUAAUGUGAAUUGCAGAAUUCAGUGAAUCAUCGAAUCUUUGAACGCACAUUGCGCCCCUUGGUAUUCCGGGGGGCAUGCCUGUUCGAGCGUCAUUACAACCCUCAAGCUCUGCUUGGAAUUGGGCACCGUCCUCACUGCGGACGCGCCUCAAAGACCUCGGCGGUGGCUGUUCAGCCCUCAAGCGUAGUAGAAUACACCUCGCUUUGGAGCGGUUGGCGUCGCCCGCCGGACGAACCUUCUGAACUUUUCUCAAGGUUGACCUCGG
rnacentral:rRNA from 1 species